AGCCACUUAGUCACAAACACUGGCCAAAGUUAGCAUUUAUAUUUGUUUGUAUGUUAAAAAUGCUAACUUUGGCCAGUGUUUGUGA